rnacentral:tRNA from 1 species
GGAAUAGUUUACAUUGGAAAGUUAAAACAAUUGCUAAUUGUUCGAGUAUUCUCUUAGGUGUUCGAAUCACCUCUAUUCCG